rnacentral:rRNA from 1 species
CAGUAGCCACGGUAAUACGUAGGGUGCAAGCGUUAAUCGGAAUUACUGGGCGUAAAGCGUGCGCAGGCGGUUAUAUAAGACAGAUGUGAAAUCCCCGGGCUCAACCUGGGAACUGCAUUUGUGACUGUAUAGCUAGAGUACGGCAGAGGGGGAUGGAAUUCCGCGUGUAGCAGUGAAAUGCGUAGAUAUGCGGAGGAACACCGAUGGCGAAGGCAAUCCCCUGGGCCUGUACUGACGCUCAUGCACGAAAGCGUGGGGAGCAAACAGGAUUAGAUACCCGGGUAGUCCCUGUCUCUUAUAA